CGGAAAAGUUUACAGCAUUGUGAAACAAACAGCUCUAAGAAUUUUGUAGGUUGUAUCUAGUUUAAAGAAGGUCCAAGCUCACUCCAGAUACUCGGUGUUUGAUUCAACCCGCUGCAGCAUGGCAAAGAGCCCAAUGUGAGCUGUGUCUGAAGUCAUGUGUGUACAAGGGUGAUGAGAGAGAGCAAGCGAGGGAAGGUGAAGGAAAUUUGCUGACUUGAACUGUAGCAAAGGUGACCAAGACUACAAAUGCACUGACAGCUUUAUGAGCUGCUGGCUAAGGAGGAAAAUGUUGGAACACGAGGCUCUGGCGGAGGUCCCAGAUGUACACAGAAAAGCUUCCUGUAACGAACGAGCCGGCCCUCGACGUCCUCAUUUGUACACACCACCGAUGUUCGCCCGGUCAUCUUCAGAUGUCAGGCAACUGGAAAAAGAACACAAUGCUCAGAGCACUUAUCUAUACAUGGUCUCUUUGUGAAGCAUGGAAUAAUUUGAAGUCACCAAAAGCAAAGCAUCCAGUGAUGUAGAACUUCUAAGAGGAACCCAAUUUGUUGCGUCCCGAUCUAUAAGAGGUCACGCCGUCAAGGAUUAGGCCCAUAUUGAUUCACUGGUCAGACUUUGUUGUGAUAAAGGAAUCGGACCAGGUGGACUCCCGGGUGCAUGUUUCUUUCUAUAAUCCGCGUGUAAAACGGAAGUGUAAAUGUUCUGCUUUGUUUAGAGUCACUAAGGCAUACGCUUAGGGAAAAUCCAGCGUGUUUCCCAUUUUAAUACCUACCUCCGUGAGGGUAACCAAUCCCAGAUGUGCUCCAGCGCAAAAUACAUUUUCACUCGCUUUAAAACGUUUUUUUUUUCCCUUCUGACUCGGGGUCAAUGACUUCAGUUUCAGCUGUAGUGGAAGCUAAAUAUAGAUUUAUUGAGAGCCACUAAAUGACUUGUUUUUAAAGCAUUUGUCACUGUGAUCCUUAAGCGAACAAAUAUUUAUGCAUUUUUAAACAGGGAUGUGUCCGGGAAAGUGGCGUCGCUCUUCCUGCGGCUGACGUGAGAACGCAGUUCAGGUUUUACUAAAUCAUGAUAAUUGGUCAUUUGAAAACAGGGAGGCAUAUACAAGAAAGAAAAAAGACUACUGUAGUUGAAACUCGGGCCUCCAACAUCAUCGGGUGAAAUAUUAGACAAGGCAUCAUUUCUAAAGGGUAAAAAGGCAGCAAUCGUCCUUCUGGAGGCGGCUGUACACAAACCCACAUCACAUCACAAACUGUGUGAGAAAGUAAGGACCAGGAUGGAGGGGGCAGUAACGUGUGAAUAUGUAGUGUGUUAUGAUAGCUCUGUAUGGGGCCCCCAGAGCGAUGUCCUCUCCACGUUUCGGAUCACCUUGGGGGUCCUUGCAUCCUGUUCUUCUCAAGCAGGGAGAGGUGGGAAGUUCCCCCGACAGGAAGUGGGUCUGUCAGAUCUGCAGAUUGUGGGGGCUUUGAGAAAGUUCGGGGUGUUUGGUUUGCCCCAUGUUUUCCCAUGAAGAAGAGCCUCAGGAAGAUCUCAUGAGCUGAGAAUUUAGGUCUGUUUCCUUUUAAAUGUUUUAGAACAUCUUUGACUUUCUGAUCAGAUGU